CAAAAGCAGCAGCACUCCAGAUUUCAUCGACUGCUUCUAUAGGCACAGGGGAAAACUACGCCGAUUCUGUUAGAUUUUAGAGUUGUUUAGGGCCUUGGUCUGUGUGCCUUCACUCUGUCCAGAUGGCAGUGAGGUCAGACUUGCUAAUUAACAGCAAAAAUGCAAAGGAAGUGGACAAUGAAGACCGAUUUGCAUUCAGUAGCAGAAAAUUAGGUUUUCUAGGUGUAUGCACAAAAGCUCGAAGGACUCCAAAUUAGCAGCCACUCCUGGAAAUUUUACCUUUCGGUUACUCUGUAGGAGGACACUUGACAAAGACAAACAAGGAUUAAGG